rnacentral:tRNA from 1 species
GCUUAAAACAUUUAGCUCAGCUGGUAGAGCAUGAGACUCUUGAUAUCAGGGUCGUGGGUUUGAGCCCCACAUUGGGCA